GGUGUUACAGAGCGAGGGAGGACACAGCUGCACUUCGUAAGCCCAGCAAGCACCAUCACCAGUUCCUUGAGUAUCACGUGCAAGGGUUUGGAAACAGAAACAGGACUGCCUGGCAGUAAACUCACGUGUGCUGUCCGUGUAUGACCCAAAGCUGCUGUGUGAGGCAGGUGCCCUUAUGCAGACGGGAAAGCUGUUCCUCAGACUGAGAGAGGAAGACACCACAUUGUAGACCAGGUACACACACUCAGUCUCAGCUUCUCCCACCCUUUCAUGUUGAUGAAGCCGGCUGCUGUGCUGUGAGCCACCUCAGGAGAAGCCUCCAGCAAACAGCCAGUGAGGACUGGCGGCCCUCAGGUGAACGGCCAGUGG
rnacentral:lncRNA from 1 species